ACCUUCGAUUUGUUUUCUUCGGUUUCGGCUGCUUCGUCCUCCUUGUUUGGCACCGAAAAAAGACCCAACCCGCCUAGGAGGCCCGCCCAGCCGCCUGGUGCCCGCCUAGGCGGAUUUUUGGAACACUGCGAUUGACUGAAACAAGUGAAAUUUCUUACAUCAAUCAGCUCACUAAACCACAGCAGGCACCCACUUCCUCCAUCCCUGUUAUCCAAAUUUGCAAAAGCUGUGCAGGAGCAGUUCUUCUUGCACAACAUCUCACAUUGCUUGAGUUCCAUACUUCUGUUAAACCCGGAUACAUCAUUUGCAGUCUGUUUUGUUCACUCUUAAGAGAGACUCAUUGGCUACUGAUGAGAGGCUUAAUGCUCUAAAAGAAGAGGUACGGCCUCUGUGUGCUGCAUCAAGAAAGUACAACUUCGAUCUUCAUGUUUUAGAGUCUAAAGCACAAGAUGCUGAGGAUAGACUCGAAACGGUUGCCUCUCAGGCUCAAAAGAUGGCUGACAUUGUUACAGAACAAUGGAUUCAAAUUCAGCGGCUUGAGCUGGCUCU